CCUACGGGCGGCAGCAGUGGGGAAUAUUGCACAAUGGGGGAAACCCUGAUGCAGCGACGCCGCGUGAGUGAAGAAGGAUUUCGGUACGUAAAGCUCUAUCAGCAGGGAAGAAAAUGACGGUACCUGACUAAGAAGCCCCGGCUAACUACGUGCCAGCAGCCGCGGUAACACGUAGGGGGCAAGCGUUAUACGGAUUUACUGGGUGUAAAGGGAGCGUAGACGGCAGCGCAAGUCUGAAGUGAAAUCCCAUGGCUUAACCAUGGAACUGCUUUGGAAACUGUGCAGCUGGAGUGCAGGAGAGGUAAGCGGAAUUCCUGGUGUAGCGGUGAAAUGCGUAGAUAUCACGCAGAACUCCGAUUGCGAAGGCAGCAUACCGGCGCUCAACUGACGCUCAUGCACGAAAGUGUGGGUAUCGAACAGGAUUAGAUACCCUGGUAGUC
rnacentral:rRNA from 1 species